rnacentral:rRNA from 1 species
UUUAUUUGAGAGUUUGAUCCUGGCUCAGGAUGAACGCUGGCGGCGUGCCUAACACAUGCAAGUUGAGCGAUUUACUUCGGUAAAGAGCGGCGGACGGGUGAGUAACGCGUGGGUAACCUACCCUGUACACACGGAUAACAUACCGAAAGGUAUGCUAAUACGGGAUAAUAUAUUUGAGAGGCAUCUCUUGAAUAUCAAAGGUGAGCCAGUACAGGAUGGACCCGCGUCUGAUUAGCUAGUUGGUAAGGUAACGGCUUACCAAGGCGACGAUCAGUAGCCGACCUGAGAGGGUGAUCGGCCA